UACGUAGGGGGCAAGCGUUAUCCGGAUUUACUGGGUGUAAAGGGAGCGUAGACGGCUGUGCAAGUCUGAAGUGAAAGCCCAGGGCUCAACCCUGGGACUGCUUUGGAAACUGUAAAGCUAGAGUGCUGGAGAGGUAAGUGGAAUUCCUAGUGUAGCGGUGAAAUGCGUAGAUAUUAGGAGGAACACCAGUGGCGAAGGCGGCUUACUGGACAGUAACUGACGUUGAGGCUCGAAAGCGUGGGGAGCAA
rnacentral:rRNA from 1 species